CAUCAGCUUCAUCCUCCAGUUUAAUGGUACUGAGACAAACAUCACAACACCAGAUGGAGACGGACCAGUAACUCACACAGUCUCAUCUCUCACUCCUUCAACAAAAUACAAUUUCGCUGUCUUCUCCGUGUUUGAGAACGUCAGAAGCAGUGGAGUCAGCAUCACUGCAGUCACUGAAGGGCCUCAUUUUGUCGUUGGAUUGAAAGUCAGGUUGAGUUCAGACACUGAACUGUCACAAGCAGAAAUUCAGGCUCUAAUGGAAGAG